rnacentral:rRNA from 1 species
CGAACGAACAUGCAAGAGUCCAAGCUGUAAAUCUCAGGGCAAGCCCUGCGAGUUGUAAGCUCAAGAAGCGAUCCAAGACCGGAGCUGAGCGCAUAAGUUUCUGGAAAGAGACGGCAAAGAGGGUGAAACCCCCGUAUUUGGCGCAAGGCGAAGGGAAAGGUAGCUUCACAGAGUCGGGUAGCUUGGGAUUGCUGCCUUAAUCGGGAGAUAAACUUCUCCUAAGACUAAAUAUGGAUGGGAAACCGAUAGCGAACAAGUACUGUGAAGGAAAGAUGAAAAGAACUUUGAAAAGAGGGUUAAAAGACUUGAAACCGUUGAGAAGGAAGCUAAGGAAGCUGGCAAAAGUGCGUGAUGCUUUACGAAAGCGAAGGCGGAGGGUUUCUUCAAAAGGACCGGAAGCUGGAGCCGAGGAAGAGCCGCUCCGCGCGGAAGACAGAAUCAGUUCUCGUGCUGUUGGAAGGUGCUAGGAAUUUCCAGCUUCGGUUGAAGCCUGGUACUUUAGCAAUACGGGGACUGAGGGGCUUAUGCGAUUUUGUCGAAACGGCUUUCUUAGAACCGUCUUGAAACACGGACCAAGGAGUCAAACAAACAUGCGAGUUUGCGGGUGAAAAACCCAUAGGCGAAAUGAAAGUGAGUAUAAGGUGCCAAGCGAAAGCAGCAGCAUCAACCGCCGAUUGGCUUCUGUCAAACGCGUGAGUAAGAGCAUAUUUGUUUGGACCCGAAAGAUGGUGAACUAUGCUUGAGUAGGGUGAAGCCAGGAGAAAUUCUGGUGGAGGCUCGUAGCGGUACUGACGUGCAAAUCGUUCGUCGAACUUGAGUAUAGGGGCGAAAGACUAAUCGAACCAUCUAGUAGCUGGUUCCCUCUGAAGUUUCUCUCAGGAUAGCUAGAGCAAUCAUGCAGUUUUGCUAGGUAAAGCUAAUGAUUAGUGGUGACGGGGGUCUAGACCCUCGACCAAUUCUCAAACUUUAAAUUGGUAAGAACCUAAGGUUUUCUUAAUUGAACCGAGGGGUAGAAUGCAUGCUCUAUGUGGGCCAUUUUUGGUAAGCAGAACUGGCGAUGAGGGAUGAACCUAACGUCGAGUUAAGGCGCCUAAAUUCGCAAUCAUUGGACACCAUAAAAGGCGUUGUUUCAUUGAGACAGCAGGACGGUAUCCAUAAUAGUAGGAAUCCGCUAAGGAGUGUCUUCAAACUCACCUGCUUAAUGGAUCAGCCCUGAAAAUGGAUGGCGCUACAUUGCGAUGCCGAUACUCGACCAUCAGAGCUAUUAUGAGGCUUUGAUGAGUAAGAGGGCGUGGGCAUAGUGUAGAAGCCGAGGCGUGAGCCUAGGUGGAACUGUGCUUAGUGCAGAUCUUGGUGGUAGUAGCAAUUAUUCAAAUGAGAACUUUGAAGGCCGAAGUGGAGAAGGGUUCCAUGAGAACAGUAUUUGGUCAUGGGUUACUCGGUCCUAAGACAUAGGUUAACUCCUUGAUUCACGCGCUAAUGGCGCGAUGUCGAAAGGGAAUGAGGUUAAUAUUCCUCAAGCUGGUCGGGGAUAUUAUGCGGCAACGCAAACAAGCUCGGAGACGCCAGCAUGGACUCCUAGAAGAAUUUUCUUUUCUUUUUAACUGCUUAUCGCCCUGGAAUUGGAUUAUCCAGAGAGAGGGCUUCAAGGCAGGAAGAGCAGCUCACUUUUUGAGCUGUUGGGUGCGUCCAUGAUGGUCAGUGAAAAUCCGGGGGAGAGAAUUAUUGGCUCGCCAGUCCGUACCAACAACCGCAUCAGGU